AUACUUUGUAGAAGAGGACUCCAGGGUGUUUGAAGGGAGCGCUCAACUUGAAAACGGGAGUGUUGUGUGGAAGAUGAAGAGGAAACAAUUGAAGAAGCAGAAAUGGAAGAAGGAACAGAAAUGAUCAGGCGAGCUGUUCCCCUGGGCGCGGGAAGGCAUAGCAAACUCAAAAUCCUGCUUUGCUCCCCAGCUUGGGGAAUGCUACAACCCUCAUUCAUUCAUUCAUCUGUUCAUACAUUCAGCAUAAAAUGUUCCCUGAGUGCUCACCGGGUGUCCGGUCUGAUGACCGCAGCGUAUACGGCACUGCAUAGAAGAGACUCGCCUCACCUGGUAGGGUCCAGGAGGCGUUAAACACGGUACAUGAACGACAAACACAUCGUCAUGAGUUGUAGUGGGGGAGAAGAUGAUAUUUAAACUGACGCCCCAUGAGGCCAGGAGUGGGGGGACGAGCCCCAUAAAGACCCAGGGCAUGGCG